rnacentral:rRNA from 1 species
UUUUAAUUGAAAGCUUGUAUGAACGGUUAGACAAAGGAAACUCUGUCUUUUUUUUUUAUUUGAAUUUGUCUUUUAAGUGAAAAGACUUAAAUUAUUUUAAGGGACGACAAGACCCUAUAAAUCUUUAUACUAGUAUUUCCUUAUUAAUCUUUUUAUGUAUUUAACAAAAUAAGGACGUUAAGUAUUAAGUUGGGGAGACGAGAAUAUUUAAUAAACUGUUCUAAAUAGAAACAAAACUAUUUGAAACCAUUAUAGAUCCUAAUUAGAGAUUAAAGUUCAAGUUACUUUAGGGAUAACAGCGUUAUUUUUUUUGAGAGUUCUUAUCGAAAAAAAAGUUUGCGACCUCGAUGUUGAAUUAAAAUUACUCUAUGAUGCAGCAGUCAUAGAAGAAAGUCUGUUCGACUUAUAAAGUUUUACGUGAUCU